AAGACUAUAGACCUGCGGAGUACCUGCGGAAGGAUCAUUACCGAGUGAGGGUCCCUUGCGGGCCCAACCUCCCACCCGUGUUUAACUAUACCGUGUUGCUUCGGCGGGCCCACUGGGGCCUGUUCCCGGUCGCCUGGGGGGGUGAAACCCCCCGGGUCCGUGCCCGCCGGAGACCCCUUGAACCCUGAGUGAAUCGAGUGUCGUCUGAGUUUGAAUUAAAUCAUUAAAACUUUUAGCAAU
rnacentral:misc_RNA from 1 species